rnacentral:rRNA from 1 species
CCUACGGGGGGCAGCAGUGGGGAAUAUUGCACAAUGGGGGAAACCCUGAUGCAGCAACGCCGCGUGAGCGAUGAAAGCCUUCGGGUCGUAAAGCUCUGUCCUAAGGGAAGAAUACUGACGGUACCUUAGGAGGAAGCCCCGGCUAACUACGUGCCAGCAGCCGCGGUAAUACGUAGGGGGCUAGCGUUAUCCGGAAUUACUGGGCGUAAAGGGUGCGUAGGCGGCACUUCAAGUCAGAUGUGAAAGGCUACGGCUCAACCGUAGUAUGCUUUUGAAACUGUAGGGCUUGAGUGCAGGAGAGGAGAGUGGAGUUCCGAGUGUAGUGGUGAGAUGCGUAGAUAUGGGGAGGAACACCAGUUGCGAAGGCGACUCUCUGGACUGUAACUGACGCUGAGGCACGAAACCGUGGGGAGCGAACAGGAUUAGAUACCCCAGUAGUC